rnacentral:rRNA from 1 species
GAUUUGACGGUACCUAUAAAGGAAGCACCGGCUAACUCCAUGCCAGCAGCCGCGGUAAUACGGGGGGUGCAAGCGUUGUUCGGAAUUAUUGGGCGUAAAGCGCGUGUAGGCGGUCUGAUUAGUCUGAUGUGAAAGCCCUGGGCUCAACCCAGGAAGUGCAUUGGAUACUGUCAGACUUGAAUACGGGAGAGGGUAGUGGAAUUCCUAGUGUAGGAGUGAAAUCCGUAGAUAUUAGGAGGAACACCGGUGGCGAAGGCGGCUACCUGGACCGAUAUUGACGCUGAGACGCGAAAGCGUGGGUAGCAAACAGGAUUAGAUACCCUGGUAGUCCACGCCGUAAACGAUGAGAACUAGGUGUCGCGGGUA